rnacentral:rRNA from 1 species
GACGAACGCUGGCGGCGUUGCUUAACACAUGCAAGUCGAACGGAGUUACGUAUGAAGUAUUUCGGUACGGACUAUGUAACUUAGUGGCGAACGGGUGAGUAACACGUGGGCAACCUGCCCUUAACCGGGGGAUAACAUUGUGAAAACAGUGCUAAUACCGCAUAACAGAGUAUCGGGCAUCCGAUAUUUUUAAAAGGAGCAAUCCGGUUUAGGAUGGGCCCGCGUCCAAUUAGCUAGUUGGUGAGGUAACGGCUCACCAAGGCUACGAUUGGUAGCCGAACUGAGAGGUUGAUCGGCCACAUUGGGACUGAGACACGGCCCAGACUCCUACGGGAGGCAGCAGUGGGGAAUAUUGGGCAAUGGGCGAAAGCCUGACCCAGCGACGCCGCGUGAAGGAUGAAGGUCUUCGGAUUGUAAACUUCUUUGAUCAGGGAAGAAAGAAAUGACGGUACCUGAAGAACAAGCCACGGCUAACUACGUG